rnacentral:rRNA from 1 species
UACGAGGGGUCCUAGCGUUGUUCGGAAUCAUUGGGCGUAAAGGGUGUGCAGGUGGCUAUGUAAGUCAGGUGUGAAAGCCCCGGGCUCAACCCGGGAAGUGCAUCUGAUACUGCGUAGCUUGAGUACCGAAGAGGACAGUGGAAUUCCAGGUGUAGUGGUGAAAUACGUAGAUAUCUGGAGGAACACCGGUGGCGAAGGCGGCUAUCUGGUCGAGUACUGACACUGAGACACGAAAGCAUGGGGAUCAAACAGG